rnacentral:lncRNA from 10 species
ACUAGAAAAAUGAGAACUAACUAAAGCCAAAACUAGCAGAAGGAAGGAAAUUAGAGAGAGAUAAAUGGAUUGGAGAACGAAAAAUAGUAGAGAAAAUCAACAAAACCUAGAGUUUGUUCUUCGAAAAGCUUAACAAAAUUAACAAACCUUUAACUAAAUUAACGAAGAAAAGGCGACAGGACUCAAAUGUAAUGAAACAGGGGACAUUUCAACCAAUUUUACAGAAAUAAGAAGGAUAAGAGAAUAUUACAAGUAAUUAUAUGCCAACAAAUUCAAUAACCUAAAUGAAAUUGAUAAGUCCUAGGAACACAAACCCUAUCAAGACUGAAUCAUAAAGAAAUACAAAAUGGGAACAGACCAAUAGCUAGUAAGGAGAUAUUUGCACACCACUCUUCAUAGCAGAACUAUUCACAAUAGCCAAGAGAUGGAAGCAACCCAAGUGUCCAUCAACAGAUCAAUGGAUAAACAAAAUAUGGCAUAUAGAUACAACAGAAUAUUCAGCCUUGAAAAGAAAGGAAAUUCUGACACAGGCUACAAGAUGAACCCUGAGGAUAUUAUUCUAAGUGAAAAAACCCGUCACACACAGACACAAAAAAACGAAAAUGCUGUGUGACUCCACUUUUAUAAAGUAUCUAGAGGAGUCAAAUUCAUAGAAACAAAAAGUAGAAUGGUGGUUGAUGGAGCUAGACAAAGGGGAAAAUGGUGAGCGGGUUUUUAAUAAGUUUGGGGUUUCAACUUUUCGAGAUGAGAAAAUGUGGCAAUUGCACAACAAUGUGAAUACACUUAACACCACUGAACUGAACACUUUAAAAUAGUUAAGAUGGUAAAUUUUAUGUUAUGUGUUUUGGUGUUUUCUACUUUUAUUAAAAAUAAAAGUAAAAAAAAAUGUAGACCACCUAAUUAAAUUUGAAUUUCAAAUAAACAGUGAAUACUUUUUUAGUAUAAAUAUCUCCCAAAUAUUGCAUGGGACAUUCUACACCAAAAAAUUAUUCAAUGUUUAUCUGAAGUUUACAUUCAAGUUGGCAUUCUAUAUUUUUGCUGGCAGUUUUAUUUACAGCCUAAUCUCAGAAGUGAAAUAUCAUAAGUUUUACUAAAUUUCAUUAAUUAGAAGCAAGUCACUAGGUUCAACCCCACUCUAAGGGAAGCGAUUACACAAAGACAUGAAUACAAGGAGACAGAGAUCACUGGGAGCCAUUACAGGAGCUGCCUACCAAAGACAGAAAGAGAUUAGUGAAUAUUUCUAAAUAUUUAUAUUUUUUCUCUCACCAGUGAGUUUGCAAGCCUCUUGAAGGUCUACCACAGGUAAGGUGACCGUAUAAUUUAUCAUCCAAACCAGAACUCUUUUGAGAUCAUGAAAAGGGUGGCGGCGGGGGUACUACAAUUAACUACAGCAGGGCAACAAAGAUAAACAGAACUGUCCUAGGCAAACCCAGAAGUAUGGUCACCUGAGCCAAAGAUCAUAUUGCUGGGUGUCUUCCUCAACCAUUGGCACAAUGCCAACAUAUAAGGAGUAAUUAAUAUAUCUUGCUUAUGGAAUGGCAAAAUGAUUCCAAGACACACAAAGGUACUCGGGCCACUCGUUGGCUGAGUACAGUCGUUCUCAAUAAUUUUUCAUCAGAGUCUAAUUAGGGAGGGCAAAAACCCCUCUUAAUCCAUUGAAUCCUACUUUUCAAUCAAAAAGCAAAUCCCUAACAACAUGGAGACAUCACUCUAGGAAGUCUCUUAAAUCCCAACAGAGGGAUGAGUUUAUUAUAUAGCCAUUGGCUUUAGCAUUUGAUCUCAACAAUCCCAGUGUUAUGGUGAAGAGCUCGCGGGGUCUCUGGCAUUGGAGACUCCUGGACUCCAACCCAGCUCUGAGACUAAGUAAGCACAAAACCAUGGGCAAAUAACCUGACCCCUUUAAACCUCAGCAUGCUCAUUUAAAAAUGUUUUUUGAUUGAAUGUGACAAUAUGCAGAAAGCACUUAGCACAUUUAUUCAACACAUCAACAAAUAUUUGAGCAUUUACUAUGUGCCAAUACAUAAUUCCUGGAAAGCUAUAGUCCAAGAAUAUUCUUGAUAGAAAUGUAUAUCACUACACAAUCUGGGAUUUACCAAAGAGUCCUCAACAAACUAAAUUAGAAUCCCUAAACUUACAGUAAUUUAUUAUUUUAACAGUCAAUCAUACCAGCACCUAUAAACUAUAACCAGUUUAGCACAAUGCUGAUCCCCAUGGAUGAAGAAAUUUGCUCCUUCCAAAUCACAAACAUUUCAAUUAUUGACAUAAACUCUUUCACUGAAAAAACUUUAAAUUUUGUACCCAGACGGUGUGGUGGAAUAAUGAGUUCAAGUUUUCAGUAAACUAAAAAUGUUGCCAUUUCUAGUUUAUGAAAAACAAAUUUUUGUAACCCUUCAUAACUCACAGUUACUAAUUAGUCCUUCUUUAUACAUAAAAAUGAAAUUUUAUGUGAUUUUGCCUCUUAUGCCUGUAAAAAUGAAAUAAGAUAUGGUUUUUAGGGAUCAGGUUACAGCCAACCAGGAAAACCAUUCCACCUCACCAUAAAGACAUGAAUAUAAAUAAUUAUGAAUAUGAAUUAUUCCCAGGCUUGAGUGGGAGCACAGUAGAUGUGCAGCUUGUGACAUUAGGACUGUUGUAUUAAUUUUCUAUUGCUGCUAUAACAAAUUACCACAAACCUAGCGGCUUGAAACAACACAAAUUUAUUAGCCUCUCAUUUUAGAGAUCAGAAGUGUGACACAGUUUUCACUGGGUUAAAAUCAAAGUGUUGGCAGAGCUCCAUUCCUUUCUCAAGGCUCUGGGGGAGAAUUUACUUCUUAGCCUUUUCCAGCUUCUAAAGGUCACGUGCACACUUUGGCUUAUGGCCUCUCCUCCAUCUUCAAAGCCAACAGCAGCAGGUUGAGUCUUUCCACGUUGUAUCACUCUGACCUCCUCUCCUGCUUCCCCCUUCUACUUUUAAGGGCCUGACCACAGUUGGCCACCCAGAUAGUUCACAAUCAACUAUUCAUUUAAAGGUCAACUCAUUGCCAACCUUAAUUCUACCUACAACCUAAUUCCCCUGUGCUAUGUAAUAGAACAUAAUCACAGAUUCUGGAGAUGAGGUCUUGGACAUCUUUGUGUGGCAAGGAUGUGGGGGAAUUCUUCUGCGUAGCACAACUGUGUUUUCCAAAACCUAUUUUGGUGAAUAUCAGUUCUGUAAGAUGGCAUACAAGGGAAGGGUUCCAUGAAGAAAUGUUUGGGAAAUGCUGCAGCCUCUAUCUCAUUCUUAGAACUUCACAAGACAGUUAUACAUUAAAGAGAUGUGCCCAACUAAUUUGAAGAUGUAAUGUAUUUUUUUCUUAAAGUAACUGUUAAUAUCCAAGCAACUAGUGUUCUGUAGAAUGUUACGUCCUUGAACUGGUCCAGGACUUAUGAAUUCUGGCCUCUGCUUACCAAUAGCUCACAGUAUGACCCCGAGCAAGCCUCAUAACCCUGUCUACUAACUGAGGGGAGCAUAUGGCUUGGAUGUAAUCUGUGCCACUAUUCUACAUUUCCUAAAGUGACCAAAAAGUUUCCUUUUAAACCUGAGAUUCUAUGAAUCACUUCGGCAAACAUUUAUGGAACAAUACUGUACAGGCAGGAAAUGAGCUAAACUCUGGGCAUAAAUUGAUAGAAAGACCAGGCCCUUUUCUUAAGGACCUAACUCUCCAGUUAGGGACACAAGCAUGAAAACAAAAAUCUGUAACAUGUCUGGUAAAUUCCCUAACAGAAGUAAAUGUAGAGUGCAGAGGCAGCAUGGAGAAUAGGUAGUUGAC